UACAGAGGUCUCAAGCGUUGUUCGGAUUCAUUGGGCGUAAAGGGUGCGUAGGCGGCGCGGUAAGUCGGGUGUGAAAUCUCGGGGCUUAACUCCGAAACUGCAUUCGAUACUGCCGUGCUUGAGGACUGGAGAGGAGACUGGAAUUUCCGGUGUAGCGGUGAAAUGCGUAGAUAUCGGAAGGAACAUCAGUGGCGAAAGCGGCUUCCUGGACCAGCACCGACGUCAGGCACGAAAGCGUGGGGAGCAAACAGG
rnacentral:rRNA from 1 species